GACGAACGCUGGCGGCGUGCUUAACACAUGCAAGUCGAACGGACAGGCCCUGCUUUUGUGGGUCUCUCGAUUGGCGAACGGGUGUGUAACACGUGAGUAACCUGCCCCUGACUUUGGGAUAACUUCACGAAACUGGGGCUCAUACCGGAUAGGAUCUCUUGCUGCAUGUUGGUGGUUAGAAAGUUUCGGCGGUUGUGGAUGGACUCGCUGCUUAUCCGCUUGUUGGUGGGGUAGUGGCUUACCAAGGCUUUGAAGGGUAGCCUGCCUGAGAGGGUGACCGGCCACAUUGGGACUGAGAUACGGCGCAGACUCGUACGGGAGGCAACGGGGGAGAAUAUUACACAAUGAGCGGAAGCCAGAUGCAGAAGCGCCGGGUGCGGGAUAACGGCCUUCGGGGUGAAAACCGCUUUCGACGGAGACGAAGCGGGAGUGACGGUAAUGAGUAAAGAAGCACCGGCUAACUACGUG
rnacentral:rRNA from 1 species